rfam:Gossypium raimondii chromosome 1, whole genome shotgun sequence.
CACGUCAGCGCGCUUUGCUGAUGUGGACACAAAUCGCGCUCCAGAGGACGCGAUUUGUUGCCAUGUCAGCAAAGCGCGCUGACGUGG